GGGCUGACGUCACUGCCCUGGCUUGGAGAGGCUGUUGCUGAGCCGGCUCCAACCGGCUGGAAGGCGGGAAGCUGUUUCGCCUGGAGGCUCGCGCGCUUUUUGGAAUUCAGUUAUCAAGCUUUAGAGCCUGGCUACUCACAGUUGAAGCCUGAUUGCAGGUUGAUUUGUACAAAUAGCACAAGAGGACACCAACUCCAUGCAGAUGGCAGCCCAGCAGGUCACACCAGUCCUUCUGUCCUCACACUGGCAGACAGAGGCCUCCUCUCUGGAGUCUUCACAGGGGCCUGAGCUAGAGCUGGAAAUGCAGCUGGAGCUGCAGCCAAAGCUGGGGCUGCAGGGCCUUGAUUUGAGACUUGGCCUUGGUCUUGGGUGAGCAGAGAGACAAGGUUUCGCCACGUUGCCUAGGCUGGUCUCUAAACCCUGAGCUCCGGUGAUUCACCCGCCUCAGCUUCCCAAAGUGCUGGGAUUACAGACAUGAGCCAGUGUGCCGGCCUGUUUUGCUUAAUAUUGAUUGCUUUUAGUUUCAGCUCUCAAUCACAAAAGACAAUCAUGCAGUAGAUAAUUAAGUGUGAUAUGGAUUACUUUGAAACUUAGCAAUGAGAGUCUUUUUUUUUCUUUUUAUACAAAAUUCCUCUAAAAUGGGAAUAUUUUUCACAUAAAAUAAAGGGAAACUUAGAAAAUGUGUCUAAGUAUAAUGGAAGCAUUCAAAUGUUUGUUUUAAGCUUUCUAAUACAUUUAUUUGUACAGAUCAAGACUUACUAAUAUGCUAAAAAGGAACAGUUAAAAUAAACUAUUGUACAUUCUUAAAA